rnacentral:rRNA from 1 species
UACAGAGGGGGCAAGCGUUGUUCGGAAUUACUGGGCGUAAAGGGCGCGUAGGCGGCCUUCUAAGUCGAACGUGAAAUCCCCGGGCUCAACCCGGGAACUGCGUCCGAUACUGGAAGGCUUGAAUCCGGGAGAGGGAUGCGGAAUUCCAGGUGUAGCGGUGAAAUGCGUAGAUAUUCGGAAGAACACCAGUGGCGAAGGCGGACUCACUGGCCCGGUACUGACGCUGAGAUACGAAAGCGUGGGGAGCAAACAGG